GCGAGCGCGCUGCAUCUCCCCGCGUGAUCCCCCGGUGCCCUGCAGGGCCCACAGGCCUCCCGUGGGAAGUAGUCUCCCACCUUCUCCCAGGAACAUUCCUGAGAGCAGUUGACUCCCUGUUGAUCAGGUCAGGGCACGCCAAGGGGCUUAAAAAACCGCGAAACAGGCUAGCGCCUACUUUCCACGUCUCCCGGCAAAACCAGCCCUGCCUCCCCAGCCCCUUCUCUGCCAGUCGCGAGAUCCUCGAUGCAGACUAGGGAACUGGCCCCCAAACCGAGCAGACUACAGGCUCCAGAGACUAAGGUCAGAUUGUCAUGCUCCUGAUGAGACCCGGAGCUCAGGAAAUUUGAGAGACUGAGCCAGCACUGCAGACUGGAGGAAGUGGACAAAUCAGGAUUUGAGCUCUCGUGUGUCUGACUGGCUUUCUCAGUCUACCGAUGACCUUGUUGGAUUUUGCUCCGUGGACCACCGUACUCUCUGGCUUUGUGCCCACUCAACAGGCUGAGGAGGGUACAGAUUCCUAUCUUUUGCCCUAAAAAAAAAAAAAAA